rnacentral:rRNA from 1 species
AUUGAACGCUGGCGGCAGGCCUAACACAUGCAAGUCGAACGGUAACAGGAAACAGCUUGCUGUUUCGCUGACGAGUGGCGGACGGGUGAGUAAUGUCUGGGAAACUGCCUGAUGGAGGGGGAUAACUACUGGAAACGGUAGCUAAUACCGCAUAACGUCGCAAGACCAAAGAGGGGGACCCUCGGGCCUCUUGCCAUCGGAUGUGCCCAGAUGGGAUUAGCUUGUUGGUGGGGUAACGGCUCACCAAGUCGACGAUCCCUAGCUGGUCUGAGAGGAUGACCAGCCACACUGGAACUGAGACACGGUCCAGACUCCUACGGGAGGCAGCAGUGGGGAAUAUUGCACAAUGGGCGCAAGCCUGAUGCAGCCAUGCCGCGUGUAUGAAGAAGGCCUUCGGGUUGUAAAGUACUUUCAGCGGGGAGGAAGGGAGUAAAGUUAAUACCUUUGCUCAUUGACGUUACCCGCAGAAGAAGCACCGGCUAACUCCGUA